rnacentral:lncRNA from 1 species
AGAGAAAUAGAAAAAAAGAAUAAUACUUCCUAGUACAAAAUUUAACAUAAGAAAAACCACAGACAUCAUAAAUCCUCUUAUACCUAAAAUAUAAUCUAAUUCCACUAACUAAAACAUCCUCCCUUCAUGUAGUCAAGUUUACUAAUGCCCCAUCAACGCAUCCUAAUUUAACCCCACUAAAGUGACUACCCUUGACACAGUCUAUUACACCACACUCCGCCAGCUUUGGCUUGUCUCAAGUAUGCUCCUAGUAUACGAAAUUCUCUAACCUUUCCUGCUUAAUGUUUAUCCUAAUAAAAUUAGAAUUCCCCCAACUGUUCCAUUCACUCCUAACAAUGUCUAUACUCUAGGUAUUAUAAU